CAGGGUAACAGAAAACACUGACCAGAUUUAGAACCCUUGAUUGGGGAAAUUGCUCUCUGAAACUCUCUACCUACAAAAUUAAAUAAUUAAAAAUAAAGAAAAAUAUCAUUUACCUUAUUACUGAAAUUAUUUUAAUAGCUAACUUUAGAAAAAUUAGAAAAUUUAAAUCAGUCAAAAUGAGGUAAAUAAGAACACCUGUAGCUCUACAACAGAGAGAUUGCCACUAUUGACAGGUUGGCUUCUAUAUUUUCAUUCUUUACACUCAUACGUACAUGAAUGAUGCACCUUAUUCAUAUGUAUUUGCUUUUGAAAAACAGGGAUUGUGUUUUAAGUAGUACUUAAAUUACGAGUGGAUAUCUUUGAAACAGAACAGAGUUAAAUUUAAUCACAGUCGUAAUCGUAAUCUUUAUAAUUUACCAUGCCAGGCACUGGUUUAGUAUAUUGAGUAUUUGAUCUCCUUUAAUCCUUCCAACAACCUUAUGAUAUUGGUAUAUUGUUAUAAAUUUUACAGAUUAAGAAACUGAGGCUAUAACCAGGCAACAGAUCAAGAUCCUGCCACUGGUUACUGGUGGAUCUAGAAGUCAAUCUCACAUGAAAUAUGGAUAAAGGGAGAGACCCAGAGGAAACUUUUUGAGCGAUGCUGGCCCCCACAAGACAAAGUAAUGAAGACCAAAGAGGGUGAAGCUAACCAGGAGCUACUGAUCAGUGAAAUUGGUUGCAACUGGGUGGAAGAGCUGCCCUGCUGGGAACUCCAACAAAUGGCAACAUCACUCAAAGAAUGCAAGAUCCUGCUGUGAAACAAUACAAAGUGGCCUGCACUUGAAUGCCUGGCUCAGGGAAACCGUUUCAGCCAGACCACUUAAGGCCCUGUUCUGGGAAGAUAAACAGGCCCUCUGUGUGGGUAGAUCUCCCAGGUGUCUCUCAUUAUUGGACUCCCAGGACUGACUGAGAGGGCAGGAGCACAGGAGAUCUGGCUUCAGGGGAAUUAGCAACUCUGUUUAGGAGCGGGUUGCACCCUGCCAGCCCGAUUUGUUUCCGAGAAGCCCUCACCUGUGGCCAGUUUAUUCCUACCUGGCCAGAACAUUUGGAACUAUCCCAGGAAGCCGUGAGGCUGAGUCAGCGUUAGUUGCGCAUGCGCAGCAUCUUCGGCGUCCACGCACCAGCCUGUUUUGAGGAUCAGUGCGUCUUUUAGGUAGGGCCUGGCAGCACCCACCAAGCAGUGUCUCUGGGCCAGCAGUUCCCUGCAGCGGGC
rnacentral:lncRNA from 1 species